rnacentral:rRNA from 3 species
CUCGAAGUCUGACGGAGCACGCCGCGUGAGUGAUGAAGGCUUUCGGGUCGUAAAACUUGUUGUUAGGGAAGAACAAGUGCUAGUUGAAUAAGCUGGCACCUUGACGGUACCUAACCAGAAAGCCACGGCUACUACGUGCCAGCAGCCGCGGUAAUACGUAGGUGGCAAGCGUUAUCCGGAAUUAUUGGGCGUAAAGCGCGCGCAGGUGGUUUCUUAAGUCUGAUGUGAAAGCCCACGCUCACCGUGGAGGGUCAUUGGAAACUGGAGACUAAACUUGACUUACA